rnacentral:rRNA from 1 species
UUACUGGGCGUAAAGCGUGCGUAGGCGGUUUAUUAAGUCAGAUGUGAAAGCCCCGGGCUUAACCUGGGAAUUGCAUUUGAAACUGGUAAACUAGAGUAUGGUAGAGGAAAGUGGAAUUUCUGGUGUAGCGGUGAAAUGCGUAGAUAUCAGAAGGAACAUCAAUGGCGAAGGCAGCUUUCUGGACCAAUACUGACGCUGAGGUACGAAAGCGUGGGUAGCAAACAGGAUUAGAUACCCUGGUAGUCCACGCCGUAAACGAUGAUAACUAGCCGUUGGGGGGAUUUACCCUUUAGUGGCGAAGCUAACGCGUUAAGUUAUCCGCCUGGGGAGCACGGCCGCAAGGUUAAAACUCAAAGGAAUUGACGGGGACCCGCACAAGCGGUGGAGCAUGUGGUUUAAUUCGAUGCAACGCGAAGAACCUUACCUGGUCUUGACAUCCUGCGAACUUUCUAGAAAUAGAUUGGUGCCUUCGGGAACGCAGUGACAGGUGCUGCAUGGCUGUCGUCAGCUCGUGUCGUGAGAUGUUGGGUUAAGUCCCGUAACGAGCGCAACCCCUAUCCUUAUUUGCCAGCACAUUAUGGUGGGAACUAUAAGGAGACUGCCGGUGAUAAACCGGAGGAAGGCGGGGACGACGUCAAGUCAUCAUGGCCCUUACGACCAGGGCUACACACGUGCUACAAUGGGAUGGACAAAGAGUCGCGAAGCCGCGAGGUGUAGCUAAUCUCACAAACCUUCUCGUAGUCCGGAUUGGAGUCUGCAACUCGACUCCAUGAAGUCGGAAUCGCUAGUAAUCGUAGAUCAGAAUGCUACGGUGAAUACGUUCCCGGGUCUUGUACACACCGCCCGUCAUACCAUGGGAGUGGGUUGCACCAGAAGUGGCUAGUCUAACUUAGUGAGGACGGUCACCACGGUGUGACUCAUGACUGGGGUAAAGUCGUA